rnacentral:rRNA from 1 species
AUGGGAAGCUUGCUCCCGGUCGCCCUCCUAGGGCUAGGGAUCCUCCUCCAGCUCGCUGGCUGCAGCCCUCCGCCGGACCCGGUGGUGUGCACGCACGGCACGUCCAACUGCACCAUCACCAACACGUACGGCUUCUUCCUCUGCCCCGCGGCCAACGUCACCUACCCGCGGACCGAGCAAGAGCUCGUCGCGGCCGUGGCGGCCGUGGCGUCCGCGAAACGGAAGGUGAAAGUGGCCACCAAGCACUCGCACAGCAUCCCCAAGCUCGCGUGCCCCGGCGGCCGCGACGGCACGAUCAUAAGCACCGCGCGGCUGAACCGGACGGUGCGCGUCGAUGCCGAGAAGCGGCUCAUGACGGUGGAGAGCGGCAUGCUACUCCGGGACCUCAUCGAGGCCGCCGCCGCCGAGGGCCUGUCGUUGCCGCAUUCACCGUACUGGUCCGGCCUGACCAUCGGCGGGCUCCUGGCGACGGGCGCGCACGGGAGCUCGCUGUGGGGCAAGGGAGGCGCUGUUCACGAGUACGUGGUCGGGCUGAGGAUCGUGACGCCGGCGCCGGCCGGCCGGGGGUUCGCCGUGGUGAGGGAGCUUGGCGCCCAUCACCCGGACCUGGACGCCACCAAGGUCUCCAUUGGCGUCCUGGGCGUCAUCUCUCAGGGCAAGGUCGUCUACCGCCAGGACGACCGCGUCGACGUCUCCACGCCGGGCGACGGCCUCAACGACAUGCUCCUUUUCCGCGCCAAUCCCACCCGGGCGACCAUCGCUGCAAGAGCCGCCGAGGAGCUGCUGCAGGAGAACGGCACCGACACCGCCCGGUGCGCGGCGGCGCGGCUGCAGGCGGACACGCUGGAGAGGCUGGCCUACGGCUUCACCAACGACGGCGUCUCCUUCACGGGGUACCCGGUGGCGUCCGGCACAUGCGCAGACAGCCCGGAGGACGGCCUCCGCUCCGCCUGCGGCUGGGACCCGCGCAUCCCAGGUUCUUUCAACGACAACUCCGGCUUUAGCGUCGCCCUCUCCAAGGCGCCGGCGUUCAUCGUCGACAUGCAGCGCCUCCGGGAUCUCAACCCUGCCGUGUUUUGUGCUGGCGUCGACCCUAGGAUAGGCGUGGCCUUCCGCUACAUCAAGGCAUCCUCCGCCUACCUCGGCAAGGCCGAGGACUCCAUCGCCAUCGACAUCAUCUACUACCGUAGCCACGCCGACGGGAUGCCACGCGUGCACGCCGACGUGGUGGACGAGAUCGAGCAGAUGGCACUACACAAGUACGGUGCCCUGCCGCACUGGGGCAAAAACCGCAACAUCGCUUUCGACGGUGCCAUCUCAAAGUACCCAAAAGCCCACGAGUUCCUGAUGGUGAAGGACAGGUACGACCCUGACGGACUCUUCUCAAGCGAGUGGAGCGACCAGGUGCUCGGCGUCAAUGAGAGUCCCAAUAUCAUGAAGGAGCAUUGUGCCAUCGAAGGAAACUGCGUCUGCUCCGAGGACUCGCACUGCGCGCCGGAGCAGGGCUACUUCUGCCGACCAGGGAAGGUGUACGCGAAGGCUAGAGUUUGUUCAUUUGGCAAGGAUGAUUAG